GAUCCUGGCUCAGAUUGAACGCUGGCGGCAGGCCUAACACAUGCAAGUCGAACGGUAACAGGAAGAAGCUUGCUUCUUUGCUGACGAGUGGCGGACGGGUGAGUAAUGUCUGGGAAACUGCCUGAUGGAGGGGGGAUAACUACUGGAAACGGUAGCUAAUACCGCAUAACGUCGCAAGACCAAAGAGGGGGGACCCUUCGGGCCGUCUUUGCCACUCGGAUGUGCCCACGAUGGGAGUUAGCUAGUAGGUGGGGUAACGGG
rnacentral:rRNA from 1 species